rnacentral:rRNA from 1 species
UACGUAGGGGGCAAGCGUUGUCCGGAUUUAUUGGGCGUAAAGAGCGUGUAGGCGGCCAGGUAAGUCCGCUGUGAAAGUCGGGGGCUCAACCCUCGGAUGCCGGUGGAUACUGUCGGGCUCGAGUACGGAAGAGGCGAGUGGAAUUCCUGGUGUAGCGGUGAAAUGCGCAGAUAUCAGGAGGAACACCAAUUGCGAAGGCAGCUCGCUGGGACGUUACUGACGCUGAGACGCGAAAGCGUGGGGAGCAAACAGG